rnacentral:rRNA from 1 species
UACGGAGGGACUAGCGUUGUUCGGAAUUACUGGGCGUAAAGCGCACGUAGGCGGAUUUGUAAGUCAGGGGUGAAAUCCGGGCUCAACCUCGGAACUGCCUUGAUACUGCAAUCUCGAGUCCGAUAGAGGUGGGUGGAAUUCCUAGUGUAGAGGUGAAAUUCGUAGAUAUUAGGAAGAACACCGGUGGCGAAGGCGGCUCUCUGGGACGGUACUGACGCUGAG